rnacentral:rRNA from 1 species
AUUGCCUCAGUAACGGCGAGUGAAGCGGCAAGAGCUCAAAUUUGAAAGCUGGCUCCUUCGGGGUCCGCAUUGUAAUUUGCAGAGGAUGCUUCGGGAGCGGCCCCCAUCUAAGUGCCCUGGAACGGGCCGUCAUAGAGGGUGAGAAUCCCGUCUGGGAUGGGGUGCCCGCGACCAUGUGAAGCUCCUUCGACGAGUCGAGUUGUUUGGGAAUGCAGCUCUAAAUGGGUGGUAAAUUUCAUCUAAAGCUAAAUAUUGGCCGGAGACCGAUAGCGCACAAGUAGAGUGAUCGAAAGAUGAAAAGCACUUUGAAAAGAGAGUUAAAAAGCACGUGAAAUUGUUGAAAGGGAAGCGCUUGCGACCAGACUCGCCCGCGGGGUUCAGCCGGUAUUCGUACCGGUGUACUUCCCCGCGGGCGGGCCAGCGUCGGUUUGGGCGGCCGGUCAAAGGCCCUCGGAAUGUAACGCCUCUCGGGGCGUCUUAUAGCCGAGGGUGCCAUGCGGCCAGCCCGGACCGAGGAACGCGCUUCGGCUCGGACGCUGGCAUAAUGGUCGUAAGUGACCCGUCUUGAAACACGGACCAAGGAGUCUAACAUCUACGCGAGUGUUCGGGUGGCAAACCCGUGCGCGCAGUGAAAGCGAACGGAGGUGGGAACCCUUUGGGUGCACCAUCGACCGAUCCUGAUGUCUUCGGAUGGAUUUGAGUAGGAGCGUAGCUGUUGGGACCCGAAAGAUGGUGAACUAUGCCUGAAUAGGGCGAAGCCAGAGGAAACUCUGGUGGAGGCUCGCAGCGGUUCUGACGUGCAAAUCGAUCGUCAAAUUUGGGUAUAGGGGCGAAAGACUA